CCUACGGGGUGCACCAGUGGGGAAUAUUGGACAAUGGGCGAAAGCCUGAUCCAGCAAUGCCGCGUGUGUGAAGAAGGCCUUCGGGUUGUAAAGCACUUUCAGUAGGGAGGAAGGUAGUGUAGUUAACACCUGCAUUAUUUGACGCUACCUACAGAAGAAGCACCGGCUAACUCCGUGCCAGCAGCCGCGGUAAUACGGAGGGUGCGAGCGUUAAUCGGAAUUACUGGGCGUAAAGCGCAUGCAGGCGGCCUGUUAAGUCAGAUGUGAAAGCCCGGGGCUUAACCUCGGAAUUGCAUUUGAAACUGGCAGGCUAGAGUCUUGUAGAGGGGGGUAGAAUUUCAGGUGUAGCGGUGAAAUGCGUAGAGAUCUGAAGGAAUACCAGUGGCGAAGGCGGCCCCCUGGACAAAGACUGACGCUCAGAUGCGAAAGCGUGGGGAGCAAACAGGAUUAGAUACCCGGGUAGUC
rnacentral:rRNA from 1 species